AAGACUAUACUUUCAGGGAUCAUUUCUAUAGUUUCUGACUUGAGAAACGUGUUUCUCAAGUGUUUGGUCUUGCUAACCAUGAUGAAGAGUCGUGACAUUUCUCUCUGAGCAUGAGGCAGGUGGAGAAUACUGAUUCAAUUCAUAUGUUCUCUAUCAUUGAUGACUGUUCUGUGCUUCCUUGUUGAGUGCUGUGGAGAGGAAUAUGAUCAGAGUGGU